UACGAACUGUGCAAACGUUAUUCGGAAUCACUGGGCUUAAAGCGUGCGUAGGCGGUUCCUCAAGUCCGUUGUGAAAGCCCCGGGCUCAACCUGGGAAUGGCAGUGGAAACUAGGGGACUGGAAUCUGGCAGAGGGGGGUGGAAUGCCGCGUGUAGCAGUGAAAUGCGUAGAGAUGCGGCGGAACACCGAUGGCGAAGGCAGCCCCCUGGGCUGAGAUUGACGCUCAGGCACGAAAGCGUGGGGAGCAAGCAGG
rnacentral:rRNA from 1 species